UUAAAUAGGUCCCUCUCCCCCUCGCCCCCGCCUUCCCCUCCUCGAAAAAGAAACGUUUGUUGAAACAGGAUCCCUGAGGACUCCUCCCCUCCCGCCCCUUUAGCAACUGGUCUGUUGAUGGUCCGUUUUGUCCCCGCUGUGGAGUGCCCCCCUGGCUCCCCUCAAACCCCCACCCCCACCCUGGCCUGCGGCAGCACCAGGGAGGGAGGGGAAGGGAGGGAGCGGGGUGGGGGAAUGUGCCCCUCUGGGAGCACUGAGCUCCGGGUGCCAGGAUGCCAGAGGCCAUGUGGUGGCCUAACCCUUCCUACUUUUCCAGGUGAGAAAACUGAGGCUUAGAGGAACUGAACAAUUUGAGCUGAGAGUAAAGAACCAGAACUCAGGUCUCCCGAGUACACAUCCAUCCGUCCAGAAAGGGAAGCAGAGACUCUGUCCUCCACUGUAGAGGCCGCGAGGAUAUUGAAGCCCAGAUAAAGCAAGAAUUGGAACCCGAGGAUGGCCCUUGCAUUUGAGGCAUCUGUGGGGGGGCGGGCUUGUGGAAGUCAAAGGAAAGCGGGAAGACAGGAAUGGAGGGGAGAGGGUCUCCCUGAGCCCCAGACUUGCCGCUCUGAAUCCCAAGUUUUCCAAGGUAAUCAAGCCUCUGGGGUCAAGAGGCAGGUGAGGAGGAGCAGGCAAGGGAUAUGGGACCCGAGGGGCUGCCUUCCUGGAAAUGGCAUCCAAAAGUAGCAGGACUAACCCAGGGCCUCACCAUGAGGGGCAAGCACUCUACCACUGAGCUACGACUCCAGCCCCUGGACAUGACUCUUCUUUCAUAGCUGUUGAAGAGGUUGGCAAGUCAGCUGCGUCCUUCCCUCAAGAGGUGAAGGAAGGCAAAUCCGCAGCAUGCAGGAUGGAAGUCAGACAGAAAGAGGCCUCCUGCAGUGAAGUAUUGGAGCAAAGGACACCUGCUGGAGUAUCCCCCCUUUCUCUGGACACAGGGGUGGAAUGAAGGGAAGCCAGCAGAACAGGGGCAGUUCUGGAAGCUCUGAAGAAAGGAGGAGGAGGACCGGAGGGAGGGGAUGGGGCUUUGGCUCAGAGGCCUAAGGUACCCGCUGGCUGGGCUGGGUCCCUCUCUGGCUCCGGAGGGAACUCCCUGCAGAGGGAUUAUCGACUUCUCCCUCUGCAAAUCCACUCUCAGGGCCCAGGGCUCACAUCUGAAUUCCCUAAAUAACUGACCCCCUCUGAGGCCUGCAGCGGAGAUUUUCCAUUACAGGGACCCGGAAGGUCACAUCCCAUUUGCGACCUGUUUCCUCCUCCAGGGUUCCUGCAGGAGGGUGGGUAGAGUGAGCAGAUAGUCCCUCUCCAGACCUUGAAAUUGGGUCUGGAGCAUGAUGGAUGCAGCUGAAGACUGUAGCUGCAAGUUCUGUGGUUAGACACCAGGAGAGGCUGCCUCUGUCACUAGAAGAAUGGCCCAAAGGCAGUGGAGCAUUCAGUGCAGGGCAGACUUGCCCUGGGGCCGGGUGCGCAUGAGAUGAUAACUUUGGGUUUUAGGAGGCACCUGCGCCUUGGGUUCCUGGCUUAGAAUUCCUGGGUUAUCUUUGGCCCAGGGGGGACAAAAGAGAAAACUUGAGUUCCCGAACCUGAAUGUGGCUUGGACUCCAGCCAUUGGUAUUCCACCCCUCUCAUCCCUGCUGGCACCUCCAAGUGCUGCCCAGUCCUUCCCAAGCCCUGGCUCUGGUCCCUGGAGCCAGGCUCAAUACCGGAAAGGGCUGGCUCUUCCUCUGCCCGUACAGCCUGCUGGGCUUCUUGCCAUGCCCUGCCAUGCCCUCAAGGUUACUGCUGCUCGAAAACUUGAGGACCCAACAAGUGAGAGGUGGACAGGGCACCCCAGGCUCACUUUUCGCCCAGGCCUCACUGACAACCCCCUGCCCACGAGAGCUGAGGCUCUGGGAGGUCAUCUGCUUGCCCACCAUGAACCCCAUGCCAGGACACAAGCUGCCGCAGAUACCCGGUGCUUUGAUCUAGUGCCUGGGUCAGGCUGCUGCUUCCUGUGAACCCAGACAGAGGUGCCCAUUUGGAUCAAGGCCCUGUUGUUGAGAGGAGCAAAGGAAGGAGACAAAAAGACUCUAAGGCAGGAUGUGGGAAGCCAGGAUGACCACACUAGAGAGAAAGUCACAGAUCAGAAAGAUUGGAAAGGGGUCCGCAUGGAGCAGUAUGGAGAAUAGCUUGGUUGAUAGAGGGAGGUUUGGGAAGUAGGGACGUGUGCAUGUCAGAAAGCUGGGACAGUAAUGGGGAGUCAGAGAGGCAGAGGAAUGCAUUUGGCUGUGUCUGUGCUAGUUAAUGAGUGAGGGACACAAGAAUCCUGUCUGUGGGUACGUCCAAAGCCCAAAGAAAAGGGCAGUACUCUCUUGGAUGAGUGAUCAAUCAAUUACAGAUCAGCUAUCUGUGUAUGAGUGUGUGGCCUGCCACGUGUGACUGGGCGUGCAUGCCUGUGUGUGGGCCAGCGAGGAACUCGGUGCAGCCGGGCGUGGGCGUACGUGAGCGUCCAUGGGAGAAUGAGUCUGUGCACGGGGGAGGGGUGGGCGCUGCUCAGCUGCAGAUGGGCUGCAAGGUCUCCAAGAAACAGUUCUGUUUCCUAAGUGACUGGCCUCCUGGGGCUUCCAGCCCAGACUUGAAGGUUGUUUCAAGAUCAUGAAAGGAGAGUGGGAGGGAUGGAGGGAGGGAAGGAAGCCCGGGAGGCUCCGUCACCCCCACAGUCCCCCCUCCCACCCUCACCCCGCUCCUCUGCCCCAGUCCUGGGUUGAGCCAGCACUACUCCUGGGCGCUGCUACCUCUGCGCCAGGCUGCUGGGCACCCUCUCCCCCUCCCCCUCCACCCUCCAACCUUUCCUUUCCCUUUCUUCUUUAAGGGCUGUCAUCUUGCCACUGUGACCAGGCUUCUGGGCCCUGUGAGGACAUAGUGGGGCCUUCUGCUUCCAAGAGGAGGCCAUCUUUAGGGGAUGGGUUAGGUGGGAAUCUGGGAAGGCCAGGGGAGGCCUUGAUUAAUGUCCAAGAGAGAUGCCUUCUCGUCCCCCCUUCCUCCCUGUCCUCUGCCCUCCCAUGCCCUCAGACUGUCGAGAACUCUUGGUGGGCUCAGAGCCACAGAGUAGCUGUCUUAGCCCGUUGCUGCCUCAGUUUCCCCACUGGCCCACCAGGAUGGCAUCGGAUUUUCUGUCUGUCUCUUCCUUUACGACUGUCCCUGUUUUCUUCCUGGUCCUUGAUGUUUUAGUCCAUCAAACUAGAUUCUAGAAUAUCUCUUCCUUUGUCUCUCCUUAGGUCUGUCAUUUUUCCUAUGUCUCUCCUUAGGUCUGUCAGAUGAUUUUUAUUGUCUUUUUUAAAUGGUGAAAGCCAUAUUACCUAGAAUUUAGAAAAGAGGAGGAAAAGCCAGAUGUGGUUGUGCACACCUGCAAUCCCAUCAGCUCUGGGGACUUGGGCAGGAGGAUCGCAAGUUGGAGGCCAGCCUCAGCAACUUCGUGAAACACAGGCUCAAAAUAAAAAGGGCUGCAUAUGUAGCUAAGUGGCAGAGCAUCCCUAGGUUCAGUCCUUGGAGGUAGGGUGACCUGGGAACGAAAACAGAAGGGGAAAAAAAGCACUCAGGAGUAUUUUCCUCAAUCUCUCUAUUUCUGCUCCUUUCCUUACUCCUUUCUGGGUUUGGAGAGCUCCAUGUUGUGUUCCCACCUAGACACGCAGCUGGAAAUGCAAGGGAGAAAAAGGAAAGAGUCUUUGGUAUCAACCUCUCUCCCCAGGCAUGAAGGUACAAGGUUGCUCUGCGUUUCUGUUUCCCACCUGGCCCUCUAUAGGGUUCCCCCCAUGAUCUUUUACAGUCAGGUCAGCUGAGGUUGGUCCCAGCGAGGCCACAAGUCACCUGAGCAAGCUUGGACAAGAGGCUGCUCGACUCUGGCUUUGGUGUCUUCAUCUGAGUGACAAGGAGCAGCACUGGGAAACCUUGAAGGUCCUCUUCCAGCACUGAUGAUGCCCGACUUCCUGUUCUCGGCUGCCGUCUCCUCAGCUCAGGGAGCAGCAAAGUUACCUGCGUGAGAACCGCUACCUGGAGACCUGGCUGGGAAGGGGACCAGGGCGCAGUGCUCUUGCCUUGUUACUAGCAUGUGCCCCUCGUUUGUUUAGUGUGGCCCACAGUAACAAGCCUUGUCCCUUUAACUCUGGGCAUAGAAUCCAAGAAAGACUUAGGACUUGAGCUAACACUGCCUUGGUCUCUUACAGGGAGAUACCAUGACAGGGGGGACUGGGUCUGGGGAGAAGGGCUCUUGGCUGGUAUCCACUGAGAAAAUACCAAAUAAGAGGAUGUUAGGGCACAGGAGGAGGACGGGGGGGGGGCAGUUAAUUGGGUCUUGCUGAGUAUGGGGGGCAAGGGUCACAGCUGGGCCCUGCAGGGUUCCUGUUUGCCUUUGAUUCCAUCUGGGCAGGGAGGGAACUGGCCCCUAAGCCCCUGAGGAAGGUUUGCUUUGGCCAGAGAUCUGACCCAGGCCCUGGCCCGGAGCACCCCGCCUCCUUGCUCCCCCUAUCAAGAGGCAGCCUGGCUUGGUCCCCAGCCUCCUCUUUCCUCCCUUACCAGCCCCUUCCACUUAGCCCAGGAUGUAGCUCUGUUUAUCUGCCUGUUCCCUUUGGCCUCUGGACACCCAACUAGGACAGGAUGCCCUGCAAACAUCUGGCACGCGAAGACAUGGCCCUCCUCCCACAGAAUGGACUCUUCCUUGAACUCCAGGGAGCUUGGCCUCCUCGGCACCUCAGUUUCUCUGAAAGUCCAGGAUCCUUCUGCUCUAGUGCUCCUGUCUGGAAGUUCCCAUCACUUCCCGGGUGUGUGUGUAUGUGUGUGUGUGUGUGUGUGUGUGUGUGUGUGUGUGUGUGUCUUCGUCGACAGUACAUUCUCUUUCUGACAGCUAAUGCAUCAUUCAGACAUUCAGUCUAUGUGCUGAGCACUUACUGUAUACCAUGUUCUAUGUAAGUAUUUGAGAGACAAUUACAACCCAGGCAAGCAAGGUUCCCACUCUCAUGGCUCUUUUGUUCAUAAUCCCAUGCCAUUGGGUCACCACAUCCCUCCACCCCAUCCCUGAGCCUGUCUUCUCAGGGUCAGCUCCUAGCUCUUGAGGACUCCCUUUCCCCAGUUCCUUAAGCUUGACAGGCCUUCAAGGCCUAUGAUAUGGCCCCAGUAUCCUCUUCCAGUAUCUCCGUGUUUCUCCUCUGGGCUCUGGGUACUGUAGUGUCCUGGUCAACUAACCAUUAGCUAGAGAUCUUGGAUCCAAGGGAGCACUGAAGGUACAAGGCCGCUCCAUGUCUCUGUUUCCCACCUGCCCCUCUCUAGGGUCCCCACCAUGAUCAGAUACAGCUGAGGUUGGUCCUCGCCUGACCCAGGUUGGUCCUGAGCAAAGAUCCAGCCCUGGCACGUUGGAAGUCACUCUGGACUGGAGGGACAGUGGGCAGAGGCUUUUGAUGAGGACUUGUUCCACCACAAACAUACCUUGUAUGCUUGACUGAAUCCUUUACCUCACAUUAAUUCAGUAAGGUAGUUGGACUAGCUAAGAAUUCUCAUCUGUAGCAGCAUCUUCGUGCCCCAUGCCUGGGUCUCACCCCUAGGGAUCCUAUUUCAAUUUGUCUGAGGUAGGGCCCAGGCCUCAGCAAUUUUCAAAGGUUUCCCAGAUGAUUCAAUGGGCAGGCAGGGUUGAGAGUCACUGAGCCUGAUUGCCACCGAGAUAUCUAGCUCAUCACAGCUAAUGGUUAGUUGACCAGGACACUACGUGCUUGUCCCCCACCUCCCCCGGUUGAAACCUUAACCCCUAAUGUGAGAGUGUCAGGAGGUGGGGCCUUUGACAGGUAAUUAGAUGAUGAGAGUGCAGCCCCCAUGAUGGGUUUAGGCCCUUAAAAGAAGAGGGACAGAAGACAGCUUGCCUCCUUUCUACUCUCUGCCAUGUGGUGGCAGAGAGGGGGGCCAUCUGUAAACCAGGAAGUGAUCCCUCCCUCACUAGAUAUGGGAUUUGCUGGCACCUUGGUCUUAGAUUUCCCAGCCUCCAGAAGGGAGGGAGACAGCAUGCAUUGCUUAAUUUGGUCCUCAUAAAAACAGAUGGGAAGCGGAGACACACAAAUUCUAAGUAGUUCUAAGGGGGACUGGGAUUCAAACCUAGUCAGUUUGAUUCCAGAGUCUGAACACUGAAUCUUCAUGCUGUGAAGAGAAGGAUCCACUCUGGGUCCUUGUCUCCAGGAGCACAUGAGCAGAAAUCCCUGACUUCAAAGAUGACAGGAGGAGUGUACCAGAAAUUAGAGGAGAGGGAAGAGGACCAACCCCCAGGAGCCGUGAGCCAAGGCCCUGCCAGGUGCUGGCUGCACACUGUUUUUAAUCCACAGGAAGAUGGCGAGAAGGAGAAGAUGGCUCUCAGUUGGAAGAUUCAGGAAAGUCUUCGUGGAGGAGGUGACAUUCUAGUUUGGCCAUGACAGAGAUCUGGCUCAGAGAGAAAGAGGAGAGGGAACAGCCUGACCACAGGCAGACGGCGCAGUACCCAGAGCCCAAAGGAGAAACAUGGAGAUACUGGAAGAGGAUGUUGGAGCCAAAUCAUGGGCCCUGAACGCCUGUCAUUUUAAACACUUGUGAUUCCUAAAAGGCUCUGAUGAUAAGAGUCACCUGGAUGCAUGUUAAAAAUAUAAAACAGCA